rnacentral:lncRNA from 1 species
ACACAAGCUGCUAUUUACUGGUCUUAUGAUCUUGGAUAUAGCUCAUGUUCCUUACUGAUGUGGAGAAAUACAUAUCAAGAUUGUUCUAACUGCUUUUUAAUUUCAAUUUGACUAAUGGAAAAGAGUACUUGAAACAUGUUUCCUUUUAUUUAUAAUUUAAAAAAAUCAAAUAUGUGCACACACACAAGUAAUUUUGGUGCAUUAAUAGAAUAUACAUGAAUAGUUUCAUAAUGUGAUAUGAUAUUUUAAAUAUUCUAGAAAAAUUAGACUAAUUAUAAUUUUGACUCUUCUGACUCUCAUUACAGGUAAAGCUCAUUGAAUAAAUGUUGUAGCUACAGUUUGAGUAUUCUCUUAAUUUUAACUAAUCUUAAAAUUAUUUAUCUGUUGAUCCAAAAUUUUGUUAUAUAUUUUCUCCAUAAAUAGUUUGUAACUCUUUAUUUUAAAUUACUUAAAAUAAUUGUAUAAUACUAAUUUAUUUCUAAUUUUUUAGUUAGUUUGUUAUUUCAAUUUCAACACUAACUAAUGAAAAUUUCUUUAGCAUGUGUAAUAUUUUCCUUAAGAAAAUAAAACUCUUAACAAAUUUUCAUUAAGAAAAUAAAACUAAAUAAUCUUGACCACCACAUUUAUAUAAACAAAUUCAUGUUUAGGUAGCCUUUAUUCUGAACUCUCUGAUUUUAUCAGCGGGAUUGUAUGCUAACAGUUAAUUAAAUGAACCAGACACAUGUUAUAUUUAUCUUAUGCUUAAUGUAUAUUAAUGCUUUGAUACUUCAUAUUGCAAUAUUAGAAUAAUAGCACUUUGAUUUAUCAGGAUUAAAAAACUUGAACUUAUAUUUGGAAAUUAAACAAACCAGAAAAUAGACUAUUUACCUUAAUCUUUAUUCAGGUAAUUAACUAGCAUAUAUUUUGGUAGCAUAUUGUGGGGUUCAAAGUAUUUUGCACAUAUUUUAAAUACUUUUACAAUGAUAUAAAUAUGUAUUUAUUUUAGAAAAGCAAAAUAAAGAAAAUUAUUAUUUUUUGAUGUGUGCAACUUUUUUCUCAACUUUAUUUUAAAAAUUAUUGUUUUGAAAAAAGAAAAACAAAAUUAUUGUUUUAACUCAACUAUUACCAUCUACUGAUAGAUGUUGUUAACAUUAUUGUGUGUUUUCCUUCAGGAUUUAAAAAAUAUGUUUUUUACCUAAUAGGUAUUACUUUAUCCUUUAAAAAUAAUAUUAUUAUAACAUCUAUUCAUUCGACUGGAAGUCCCUUAAUAGACAUCAUCCAUCAUAUGAAUGUAUUAACAUUACAAAACCAUUCACCUUUUACUGAAUAUUUAGAUUGGUUUCAAUUUUUAAGCACUAUAAAUAAUGUUCUGCCCAUGUCUAUAGAUGUGCUUCCCAUGGUCUCUUUUGAUCACCCUGUGGGAUAGGCAAGGACUGGUUUAUAGGUUUGUUUGUUUGUUUUUUUCAUUACUAUCAAGGAAUUGAGAGGUCAAAAUCCUGAUACAAGGCCACAAAAAACAGGAAGUACAGGUGCCAGCUGGUAAACCACAAUGUUUAAUAUUUAAUUAAUUGCUUAUUCUCUUAAAAUACCCUCAUCAUUAACAGGGUUUAGAGUAGAGGUGGUGCUCAUAAAACAUGUAUAACUGCUCUAUGGCUGCUCCUUCUGCAUGGAGUGGGUGGCUGUAUCGUGGAUUACAUGGCAUUGUUAAGAUAAGGUCUCAGUUGAUGGAGAUCAUGACCUGUUGAGGGAUGAGACUGCGUAUAACAUAAAAUUAAUAAAUGUAUAGCAUAGAAUCUUUGACAGAAUAAUGAUGUCCCUGGGCAACCAGUGAAAGUAAAAAGGGAUUCUGUUUAAUUCAGCCAGGUCAGAUGAAAUCUGGUCAUUAAGUGGUGAACAGAUGUAUGAGGAAGGUUGAGCUCAUAUGUGAUUAACCAGAAACAGAAAAUACAUGAUUCAAAAAUUGAUAUGUGUACAAAUUACACAAUUGGUAUUUCACAUAAACAUUUCAAAUUAAACCACAAAGCUAUGACUUGGAACAUAAAUCUUUUAGAAAAAAAACAGAACAUAUUUUAUCCCUUAGUUAGGCUACCAUGGUUAUUUCUCCUAAUAUCCAGUUAAAAAGUGUAGCAAUACCAUUUCUCCAUAAGGUAUGGAUUUAAUCCUAUCUUUUACUUUAUGGGCUACUCUUUAACUGAAUCAUGGGAGUUAUUAGUGUUUCACACAAAAAAAAGUUGGAACAUAUCACAGGCAGUGGGCAAGCAGAUAGGACUAUAAAGCUUGUACACUUAGCCCUGAGCAACAAGGUAACUGGCUCAUUGGGACCUUUCACUUCCCGAAAUGCCAAGGGCAGCUGAAAAGAUAACCAUACAGAGAAGAGUGAUUUAUAGUAUUUAUAAGUGGAAAGUGUUGGUGUGCUGUUGGGUCCUACCCUGACUGUCAGGUCAGAGAGCCACACCAGAAUAACUCACAUAAGCAUCUCCUUGUGCCCAGCUGGGUCCCUGUGACCAGGUGAGCUGUCUUUUUAUUUUUGUCUUCUGAAAUAAGAAUCUGACUUGAUUUUUCAUGCCUCCUGUUCUCCAAACAAUAAUGCUACCCCUCGGGAGUUCUCUUGUGGCUCAACAGGUUAAAAAUCUGGCAUUGUCACUGCUAUGACUCAGGUCAUUGCUGUGGCUUGAGUGCAGUCCCUGGCCUGGGAUCCUCUGCAUGCUGCGGGUGCAGCCAAAAAAGGUAAAAAAAAAUGCUGUUCUUUAAGGUAUUUUAACACAGAUUUCACACGGUCUGGUCAAGUCACAGAUAUAGUGAUUUGAAGUAAUGUACAUGUUUUUGUUUUUUCAUGAGUUGCUUAUACAUUUAAAAUUUUCUGAGCUUCAAUUUCCUUUCUGCAAAAUGGAAAAACUAAAUCUAUUGAAAAGGAUUGUUGUGAACAGCAAAUGUGAUCAUAUGGAUAAAGUGUACUGAAUACUGAGUACUUGGUAGCUAUUGUUAUUUGUAUAAAAGGGAGUCAAAAUAAUGACAGAAAGUCAGUUACUUUCACAUGGAAAUUUUAUAUUUGCUGCGUAUUGGCUGUAUGACUUUGAGCACAUACUUAGUCACUAAGCCCAGAUGUUGUAUUAUUUGAAGUUCCUCCUGAGCUCUUUAGAUAAAAGAGAAAUUGGACACACAUAUUUUGGAGAAUGCUUAUGUCAGAACUCUAAUUAAAUUAUUUAAGAGCAAAUUGAGAACAAUUUUACAGUAGUUGUGGAUUUUUGGAAAUUACAUAGUUGAAUUUGGUCAUUGAUAUUUUGUGAUAAAGGUAUGUAUCAUGAAUGGUUGACAUUCACUGUUGCAAUAAUUUAAACUCAUAUAAUGAAUCAGUUCAAAUCACUGAGCAUAUUUACCAAGCUGUACACAUAAUUAACAUUCUAAUUCCCUCGAAUAUCUUAUCUCAUUAUCCACACUGCUUAGGAAAAUAUAUUAAAUAGACUCUGGCAAUCAGCAAGCUUAGGCUCUAUGAGACCCCAAGAGGAGGACAUUAAGUUUCUACUAGUGACCAAGUGGGUUUUUGUUAACUUUUGGAAUGAGGUUAGAGAAAGUUGUACAUGUUUUUAUGAUUACUGUCCCUAAUGAGAGCUUUGGAAUAAUGAGAGUUGGAAUUUGGACUCAGUGGGCGAGAUUUGGAAGUGGGCAAUUUUGUUAGAAAUGUUAACUUGUUUUAGUGCAAAUUAAACAUUUUCCAAGCCAACAAACUUUUUCCAGUGUCCUUCCCAGCCAUGCUCACCGCAUUCAUAGCCUCUACUCCUGCUCUUCUUAUUUUUAAACAGUUAAAAUGCCACCAGGAUUCUAAAUUUUGAUUUCCUUUGCUUACUAUUUCUUAUUUCCUUUAUGUAUUGCUUAUUUUUCUGGGACAAUUUUUUUCUAAGAAAAAAAGUGAAUGUUCAGCUGUAGAAUCAAUUGUCAAAUAAGAAGGAAAUGUUCAAGUUUUGAGGUAAAAUAGCAUUUUGUGCACAGUCCCUGAAUUCCCAUUAAAAUUCCCAUUAGGACAUAGUGGGAAAAAAAGCCAACUCAUAAGAGUGAAAGCCAAGAUUUACAGUCAGUCUAUUGCCAGAAUAUGGGGACAAUUUGUGAUAAUUACUGAAGUGAAAAAAUAAACAGAUUAACUUGGAUAGGGCUCAUUGCAAUUCACAAAAUUGUUGAGGAGAUAUGUAAAUCUAGCUAUUCACUGGCAAAAUUUUUGAAAAUAUAAGUAGAAAUAACUGUUUUAAAAACUUUACUCUAGAAUAAUUCUACCAAUUGAGAUGACCUAAAAUGGGGAUGUUAAAAAUGAGGAAAUUUUUUUUUCUCAAAAAAAGGACAUAUAUUUGAGUUAAGGUUUAAUUAGUUAAAGACUUUAAAAAAUAAUGAUUUUAAAAAAUUUUGAUAAUAAAGCUCACU